ensembl:lncRNA
GGUUUUUCUAAACAUUCUCCAUUUAAGGACAGAUCACAGCUAAAUGCUGAAGACUUUACUUUAACAGUGAGAAAACUGACUCUUCAAGAUUCUGGUGAUUUCAUUUUUGUCUCAGCAAUAAAUGACAAACAGAGGAAAUCAGUCAUCAUCACUUUGCAAGUUUAUGCCCAUAACUAAGCAGCCUCUUCUGAAAAUCCUAAAUUUCAGCCAGGAGGCCUCAAACAAAUUUUGCACAGUUCUGCUGGAGUGUAGCUCAACUGGCAAUGUCACCUUCAACUGGACUGUAGGGAGUCAAACACAAACUGGAACCAGGCUGCAUCACAUUAUGAAGGAGGAGGAUGGAGAAAUCACUUUCACAUGCACAGUUUCCAAUCAUGGCUCACAACUGACAAUGAUGGGAGGAGACGUAACAAUAUGCAACCGCAAUUAAAAUUUAAAUUAAAACAAAUACGACAAUUUGAAAAAUCUAUAAACCCAUAUUCAGCAGAUAGAGGAGGUGGCUGAUACCCAGAAAUCCUACCAGUGGCUGGACAAAGCUGGACUGAAAGACAGCACAGAGGCACUAAUCAUGGCAGCACAGGAACAAGCUCUGAGCACAAGAUCCAUAGAGGCUGGGGUCUAUCACACCAGGCAAGACCCCAGGUGCAGGCUGUGUAAAGAUGCCCCAGAGACAAUCCAGCACAUAACAGCAGGGUGCAAGAUGCUAG